ACGCUGGCGGCAGGCCUAACACAUGCAAGUCGAGCGGCAGCACGGGUACUUGUACCUGGUGGCGAGCGGCGGACGGGUGAGUAAUGCCUAGGAAUCUGCCUGGUAGUGGGGGAUAACGCUCGGAAACGGACGCUAAUACCGCAUACGUCCUACGGGAGAAAGCAGGGGACCUUCGGGCCUUGCGCUAUCAGAUGAGCCUAGGUCGGAUUAGCUAGUUGGUGAGGUAAUGGCUCACCAAGGCGACGAUCCGUAACUGGUCUGAGAGGAUGAUCAGUCACACUGGAACUGAGACACGGUCCAGACUCCUACGGGAGGCAGCAGUGGGGAAUAUUGGACAAUGGGCGAAAGCCUGAUCCAGCCAUGCCGCGUGUGUGAAGAAGGUCUUCGGAUUGUAAAGCACUUUAAGUUGGGAGGAAGGGCAGUUACCUAAUACGUAUCUGUUUUGACGUUACCGACAGAAUAAGCACCGGCUAACUCUGUGCCAGCAGCCGCGGUAAUACAGAGGGGUGCAAGCGUUAAUCGGAAUUACUGGGCGUAAAGCGCGCGUAGGUGGUUUGUUAAGUUGGAUGUGAAGUCCCCGGGCUCAACCUGGGAACUGCAUUCAAAACUGACAAGCUAGAGUAUGGUAGAGGGUGGUGGAAUUUCCUGUGUAGCGGUGAAAUGCGUAGAUAUAGGAAGGAACACCAGUGGCGAAGGCGACCACCUGGACUGAUACUGACACUGAGGUGCGAAAGCGUGGGGAGCAAAC
rnacentral:rRNA from 1 species